GCAUGUGACCAACCUGCCGGCAGCAGCCUGUGGUUUACUCAACCACCAAUUACUGUGUGUGUACCUCCAUCAGCCGACUGUCACAGAAGCUCGGCCCGCUGACUCACUCUGAGUUAAUGUGGUGCUGCUGAAUUAUCUGAUCUCCACAGGACCUGAAAAUAUGCAGAGAACCUGGAGGGAACCUGGAGGGAACCUGGGGGGAAGAAGAGCCGCUGGAACCUGAAUCCUGAGAGCAGGACCUGACAGCUUCUGUGACUCGCCGUGACUCACUUUGAAGCAUGUGCCUAAUGAUUUUUGUAGAAAGUCUAAUAUAUUUAUUUAUUUAUGUUUAUUUAUAAGCAUAAGACUGUAUUUUGUAACCAUUUCCCCAAAAAGGCUGCUGAAAAAACACUUAA